rnacentral:rRNA from 1 species
UACGGGGGGGGCAAGCGUUGUUCGGAAUUACUGGGCGUAAAGGGUUUGUAGGUGGCUUGUUAAGUCAGACGUGAAAUCCCCAGGCUCAACCUGGGAACUGCGUCUGAUACUGGAUGGCUUGAAUCCGGGAGAGGGAUGCAGAAUUCCAGGUGUAGCGGUGAAAUGCGUAGAUAUCUGGAGGAAUACCGGUGGCGAAGGCGGCAUCCUGGACCGGCAUUGACGCUGAGGAGCGAAAGCCAGGGGAGCAAACGGG